rnacentral:miRNA from 1 species
CUCGGAGGGCUCGGAGGACGACUC